GUUAGCGGAUGACCUGUGGAUCGGAGUGAAAGGCUAAUCAAGCUCGGAGAUAGCUGGUUCUGCUCGAAAGCUAUUUAGGUAGCGCCUCAUGUAUCACUGUAGGGGGGAGAGCACUAUUUCGGCUAGGGGGUCAUCCCGACUUACCAAACCGAUGCAAACUCCGAAUACCUACAAGUGCCGGGCAUGGGAGACACACGGCGGGUGCUAACGUCCGUCGUGAAAAGGGAAACAACCCAAACCGUCAGCUAAGGUCCCAAAGUUAUGGUUAAGUGGGAAACGAUGUGGGAAGGCUUAGACAGC
rnacentral:rRNA from 1 species